UAGAUUCAGAGUAUUGUCUUGAUGAUGAUGCAGAGCAAACUGGAUUAGUUAACAAAAUUGUGAAGGGGUAAGCUCAGUACAACUUCUUCAUCUAACAAGGACAAUGUUGUAAGUUACCCUGCCUUACAUGUGCAUUUUCUACAUAUACCCUCAAUUAUCGAAUCUCAAUACGCCCAGUAAAAUAAAAUAAUCCUCAUUUGCAUAUAAAAGGCUCAAAUUGCUUUCAUUUGCAUCGCUAAAUAUGCCAGGAAUGUCACCCCAAACAAAAUAUUCGCAAGUACUGCCAUGAAAAUUUCGCAAUAUAAAAUAAUAUU